CAAAUUCCUUCAUCUGUCGCCCCCAGGCCACGGCCUGCACUGACGACACAAAAUAUGACAAUACAGGCAUGAAAUUCUUCAUUGACUGCAUGAUCAAUUAACAGCCACGCCAACACUGGAGUAGGUUGCAAGUGUAUUUGUUUUGUCACAAGGCUGGAUAUAUACAGUGGUAUUCUGCCAGUUGUAACACUGUGAUGACCAACUUGGCUGGAGCUGGUGUAUAAAUGGAUAUACACAAUGUGCUAUAAUGGAUAUGUACAGUGGUAUUCUGCCAGUUGUCACAUUCUGAUGACCAGCAUGGCUAGAGCUGGAGUAUAAAUGGAUAUACACCACGUGCUAUAAUGGAUAUAUACUCACCAACUAACUGAGUUUAACCAAGAAGGGAAGGGGAAGUUGGUGUGACGGGAAGCUGAAGUCUGAGAGAGCAGGUCAAAGGUCAUGUCUUCCAAGAGCAGCAGCAGCACACUCGUGCAGUACCGGAACCUCGGCAAGUCUGGGCUGCGAGUUUCCAACAUAGGAUUUGGAACAUGGGUAACGUUUGGAGGCCAGGUUUCAGAAGAGGUGGCUGAAGAGCUCCUCACCCUGGCCUACGAAAGUGGAAUCAACUUGUUUGACACAGCAGAGGUUUACGCCGCGGGCAAGGAAGACGAGAAGGUGUUCUGUCGGGCCGAGAACACGCUGGGGAAUAUUCUCAAGAAGAAGAGCUGGAGGAGAUCGAGUUACAUUCUGUCCACGAAGAUCUACUGGGGAGGGAAGGCCGAGACAGAGAAAGGACUUUCCCGGAAACAUAUCGUUGAAGGUCUGAAGGGGUCGCUGGAGAGGUUGCAGCAGGACUAUGUGGACAUCGUCUUCGCCAACAAGCCGGACUCACACACACCAAUGGAAGAGGUGGUGCGUGCUUUCACCCAUGUCAUCAACCACGGCUGGGCCAUGUACUGGGGGACAUCCCGCUGGAGCCCCAUGGAGAUCAUGGAGGCGUACUCAGUGGCGAGGCAGUUCAACCUGAUUCCUCCGGUAGCGGAGCAGGCAGAGUACCAUCUGUUCCAGCGGGAGAAGGUGGAAAUACAGAUGCCAGAACUAUACCAUAAAAUAGGUAUCGGGACAGUCACGUGGUCCCCUCUUGCCAGUGGGAUCCUCACGGGGAAGUACGAUGACGGUGUUCCCAUCUACUCCAGGGCUGCCCUCAAGGGCUACAGCUGGUUGAAGGAUAAAGUGCUAAGCGAAGAUGGACGACGACAGCAGGCCAAAUUGAGAGAGGUGGCGGUGAUUGCUGACAGACUAGGCUGUUCUAUAGCACAGCUCGCCAUAGCGUGGUGUGUUAAGAGUGAGAAUGUUCACUGUGUCCUCCUUGGAGCUUCCAAUGUUGAUCAGCUGUACGAGGACAUCCAGGCCCUGCAGUAUGUGUCCAAGCUGACACCGGCUAUUCUUAGCGAGAUGGAUAAGCUGCUUGGGAAUAAGCCCGUGUACAAGCGAGAAACAUACAGUCGACAAAGAGCCCGACAAGUUCCACGGCGAUAGCGCUAGGCAGGGAUGUACGUGCUUUUCAAAAUUAGAAUGACGUCGAGAAACGUGACCUGCAAUGAGUGUACUUCCAGCAGAUGAACACUUUCGUUGUCUGCUCUAUGCAAGCAAGAUGGCGCCCACAUCGCCAUAGCAACCAGAAGAGGUCAGGAGGUACAGAGGCUGCACGUGAUGCUGAGGUCGUCCACUAGGGCUGUAGAUGCGGCUUCUAGACGUGACUAAACCAUGGAGACUGUUGCGUAGCAGCAUCUACCAUCUUCCCAGAGCUAGGGACAUUGUCAGAUUGUUGUCAAAAUAUGUGCAAUGCCUUGUAAGUCAUUGUGUCAUAUUCUUUUUCCUCUUCAAAUUUUCCUCAUGGAUUGGAGUAUCAUUUUCAAGCAACUGGUGUUCGGUGAUCGCUUGGAUCAUGUCCUCCGGGACAUAAUGUUGUUAGAAAUGUGAUGUGAGAAAGGCGUGUGUCGGAUGUGGAGUUCUGUCAGCUGACAUUUAAUGUACUGACAUACACACGAGCCCUAGCAGGACAGCCAUCAGCUAAGCUGCAAUGUGUAGGGUAAUCAGCAGUGUCAGAGACGGUUAGUCGGCCAUGAAUGGGCUAAUAUAUUGUUUGACAAUGCUGUGGAGGGAUAUCUCGCAUAUAUCAGUUACAUUAUAUAUAGGAUAUAGAUCACCAUCCCAUGAUCUGUCCCUAGCUGGAGAUGAAGCUGUUUUGUCAUCUUCUCAGCUGGGAGAACUGGACUGGGCUCAUCCUUCCUAGAAGCACUGGAUUUAUGCAGUACAAACUGUGUCAGCCAUGAACAUUACGUUACACCACUGGAAUGAAACUUGUGCAUGAUUGAAACUUGAUUUUCGAUCUAUUCUUCGUGUCAAAUAUCUAAAGCCUUUUAGUGUGUAGUGGUGAUUAGCUUCUGAACUUUGCCUUUGUUUUCUAAGAGUUGCCUCAAAUGAUUAAUCCACAAGGGGCAAGAACAAGAUGGCCGCCAAAUGUGAUAUUUACCUCUACUGCUGGAAGUGAGUGUUUAUGGGUACAUAUCAACUAAAUUGUGCAACGCAGAUAACAGGAGAACCUUGGACGGUACAGCUGUGAAACAACAUCGAGUUAUUGUAACAGGGCCAAACCAUUCAGGAGAUGCAUCACUGGAGACUUGGUAUACGUUUUCCUGGUGUUUAAUGCGACUUACCUCAUUCACUGUACAGGAUUGUGAAGAACUUAUGGAAGAACCCUGUAGCCUCCAACAAAAUGAUAUCAAUAUUAUUCAUGAAAAGUGGAAUGAAAUCAGCAUUAAUUAAUAUUGAAUGAUGUUCUUGCUUGAAAUGUUUGCAGUGGAUUGUCAUCAAUUAUUCCCAACAAAAAAAGCUAUGGCUUGACAAAAUGUGGUAAACGCUGGAUCAGGCCUAUGAUGAGACUAACGAUAUCUUGUGACAAAUUGUUUACAAAACGGGUACCCCUACCUUUUGAGACUGGUAUUGGAACUAAAUCAGACGGUGUGACGUCUUCAGUUGUCAGGGAUAUUUCUAGAUGUGGGCAAUGAUGGUCCAGUUGGCUGACUGGCCCCAGUUCAACGUGCUUGGAAGAUCAAUUGGAAGAUUACCAAUAUCUUUCCAAUAGAAAACCCAUCCAGGAACAAAAUCGGAUUCAGCCUCAUUUAGUUUUCAAAAUCCAAGUAGGGUGAAAGUUCUGUACCAAUUGGCAGCAAUAAUCUGGGUAUUCUGCAGCCUUUGACGAAUCAACUACCCUGUACCCAUCUCAGGAUUAUCCCUAACAAUUGUUUCUGUAAAAGUAACAAACUCAAAAUGUUUCAGAUAGGGAAGGGUGUCCCAUACAGAUGUAAGCUAAUCAUUCAAUAAGGUCAUCAGUGUCCUGUUCUACAGAGCGAUCUUAAUGCUAAGAUGAUCGUAACUCCCAUACAUUAGCAUAGACUUACAGCCGUUGUAGCUCUAAGAUAAUUGUAACUCCCAUACUUUAACAUAGACCUACAGCCGUUGUAGCUCUAAGAUGAUUGUAACUCCCAUACUUUAACAUAGACUUACAGCCGUUGUAGCUCUACGAUGAUUGUAACUCCCAUACUUUAACAUAGACUUACAGCCGUUGUAGCUCUAAGAUAAUUGUAACUCCCAUACUUUAACAUAGACCUACAGCCGUUGUAGCUCUAAGAUGAUUGUAACUCCCAUACUUUAACAUAGACUUACAACCGUUGUAGCUCUAAGAUGAUUGUAACUCCCAUACUUUAACAUAGACCUACAAAAGUCAC
rnacentral:misc_RNA from 1 species